AGAAGCUCUAAGAUCAAACUGUUAGAAUGCAAAAGAAAAGAAAUGGUGACAACAUAUAGAUAGGCUUUGCUUGAAUGGAUUUCCUUCUCUCUCCUGAAGUCCUUUUGUCACAUUCAAUGCUGUUGCCUCCUGUAAUACAACUCCCGGAAUGGAAAUGACAUGAUGUCAGAGGUAAUUCCUGCAAAACCAGUUUCAGGUGCCCAAGGUGACCCUUGUAGGACCUGAGAGCUUGAACCACGAUGACAUUGGAGCCUCAUAGGACUUCAGAUGGGAUGAUCCAGCAAGCCAACCCAAAUAGAGCCAAGGUCCUCUUACUAUCUGGCUUGACGGCUCCUGAAACUGCUAGUGUUUCUGCUUUUGUCAACAUCAUCAAGUCCCACCACUGGUGUUUUCAUCCACAUGGACUUCUGGUUUGCCACCUUUCGGGUAGCCCUGGAGUCAUGAGUGAGGCUGGAUCCUGCCCUUUGCAUUAAUGGAUGAAAGGAACAACAGCUAUUUAGAGAGUUAUUUCAGAGACAUUUAUAGCUAAAAAGGACUUUUGAUGCUAUUGUUACCACAUAUCUAAUUUCCUAUGAAUCUGAAUGCUACUCUAUAAAAUGUGCUUUUAUGUGAUGGUCUAAUGAUCCUACUUGCUAUUACUUUGUUAUUGCUAAUUUAUUCUUAGUGAACACAUGAUAGCUCCCAGUG
rnacentral:lncRNA from 1 species